GGAGAGAUGGCCGAGUCGGCUGAAGGCGCUCGCCUGCUAAGCGAGUAUACGGCUAAUACCUGUAUCGAGGGUUCGAAUCCCUCUCUCUCCGCCA
rnacentral:tRNA from 1 species